CCUGGCUCAGGAUGAACGCUGGCGGCGUGCCUAACACAUGCAAGUCGAACGAAGCAUCCCGCCCGAAGAAGAGGAGUGCUUGCACAAAUCGGACUCAAUUGGGGUGACUUAGUGGCGGACGGGUGAGUAACGCGUGGGUAACCUGCCGUGUGCGAGGGGGAUAACAGUUAGAAAUGACUGCUAAUACCGCAUAAGCGCACACUGUCGCAUGACAGAGUGUGAAAAGCCGAGACGGCACACGAUGGACCCGCGUCUGAUUAGCCAGUUGGCAGGGUAACGGCCUACCAAAGCGACGAUCAGUAGCCGGCCUGAGAGGGUGAACGGCCACAUUGGGACUGAGACACGGCCCAAACUCCUACGGGAGGCAGCAGGUGGGGAAUAUUGGGCAAGUGGGGGCAACCCUGACCCAGCAACGCCGCGUGAAGGAAGAAGGCUUUCGGGUUGUAAACUUCUUUUACCAGGGACGAAGGACGUGACGGUACCUGGAGAAAAAGCCACGGCUAACUACGUGCC
rnacentral:rRNA from 1 species